UACGUAGGGUGCGAGCGUUGUCCGGAAUUCUUGGGCGUAAAGGGCUCGUAGGCGGUUUGUCGCGUCGGGAGUGAAAACCCAGGGCUUAACUCUGGGCUUGCUUUCGAUACGGGCAGACUAGAGGUAUGCAGGGGAGAACGGAAUUCCUGGUGUAGCGGUGAAAUGCGUAGAUAUCUGGAGGAACACCGGUGGCGAAGGCGGCGUUCUGGACUGCUACUGACACUGAGGAACGAAAGCCAGGGGAGCAAACGGG
rnacentral:rRNA from 1 species